rnacentral:ribozyme from 1 species
AUCACACAAGCAAAGACAGAACAAACAUAUAUAGAGAGAGAUAUAUAUGGAUGUAUGUAAAAAACAAAAAUCUACCAAAAAAAGUUGGGAGGAGGCAUCAUUGGAUGCAGA